CGCAAGCCUGAUCCAGCCAUGCCGCGUGCAGGAAGACGGUCCUAUGGAUUGUAAACUGCUUUUAUACAGGAAGAAACACCGCUACGUGUAGCGGCUUGACGGUACUGUAAGAAUAAGGAUCGGCUAACUCCGUGCCAGCAGCCGCGGUAAUACGGAGGAUCCAAGCGUUAUCCGGAAUCAUUGGGUUUAAAGGGUCCGUAGGCGGCCUUAUAAGUCAGUGGUGAAAUCUCCUAGCUCAACUAGGAAACUGCCAUUGAUACUGUAGGGCUUGAAUUAUUAGGAAGUAACUAGAAUAUGUAGUGUAGCGGUGAAAUGCUUAGAUAUUACAUGGAAUACCAAUUGCGAAGGCAGGUUACUACUAAUACAUUGACGCUGAUGGACGAAAGCGUGGGUAGCGAACAGGAUUAGAUACCCUGGUAGUCCACGCCGUAAACGAUGGAUACUAGCUGUUCGGAGCAAUCUGAGUGGCUAAGCGGAAGUGAUAAGUAUCCCACCUGGGGAGUACGAACGCAAGUUUGAAACUCAAAGGAAUUGACGGGGGCCCGCACAAGCGGUGGAGCAUGUGGUUUAAUUCGAUGAUACGCGAGGAACCUUACCAAGGCUUAAAUGUAGAUUGACCGGUUUGGAAACAGACUUUUCGCAAGACAAUUUACAAGGUGCUGCAUGGUUGUCGUCAGCUCGUGCCGUGAGGUGUCAGGUUAAGUCCUAUAACGAGCGCAACCCCUGUUGUUAGUUGCCAGCGAGUCAUGUCGGGAACUCUAACGAGACUGCCAGUGCAAACUGUGAGGAAGGUGGGGAUGACGUCAAAUCAUCACGGCCCUUACGCCUUGGGCCACACACGUGCUACAAUGGACAGUACAGAGAGCAGCUACUGGGUGACCAGAUGCGAAUCUUCAAAACCGUUCUCAGUUCGGAUCGAAGUCUGCAACUCGACUUCGUGAAGCUGGAAUCGCUAGUAAUCGGAUAUCAGCCAUGAUCCGGUGAAUACGUUCCCGGGCCUUGUACACACCGCCCGUCAAGCCAUGGAAGCUGGGGGUACCUGAAGUCGGUGACCGUAAGGAGCUGCCUAGGGUAAAACUGGUAACUAGGGCUAAGUCGUAACAAGGUAGCCGUACCGGAAGGUGCGGCUGGAACACCUCCUUUCU
rnacentral:rRNA from 1 species